UGCGAUUGGAUUGCACGUCUAAGCAGUAAGGCUGAGUAUUAGGCAAAUCCGGUACUCGUUAAGGCUGAGCUGUGAUGGGGAGAAGACAUUGUGUCUUCGAGUCGUUGAUUUCACACUGCCGAGAAAAGCCUCUAGAUAGAAAAUAGGUGCCCGUACCGCAAACCGACACAGGUAGUCAAGAUGAGAAUUCUAAGGUGAGCGAGCGAACUCUCGUUAAGGAACUCGGCAAAAUGACCCCGUAACUUCGGGAGAAGGGGUGCUCUUUAGGGUUAACGCCCAGAAGAGCCGCAGUGAAUAGGCCCAAGCGACUGUUUAUCAAAAACACAGGUCUCUGCUAAACCGUAAGGUGAUGUAUAGGGGCUGACGCCUGCCCGGUGCUGGAAGGUU
rnacentral:rRNA from 1 species